GUAUCUUAGUCUUGUUCUUCGUGUGUAGGAAAUUGAAAAAGGAGUUCCAAGUAGAUUGUAAAAAUCUCGUGUCUUCUCUCUGAAAUUGACACAAAGGGUAAAAUAUUUCCAUUUUUCGUUUGCGACAUUCCUUUGAACCAUAGGCUCGAAUAAUGCCACCACGGAUUUUUUUUCCUAUUCUUAUGUGUUCCCUCCACUUUUCCUUUGAACCAAAGGAAGCCCAAGAGUUUUUGUUUUGUUUGAUUAGUCAUCUUGUUAGGGAUUUCAUAUUAGUACUUGUACAAAUGUCGAUCUUCAAGUAUGUGCUCGAUGAGUUUUCCUAGACGAGUAGUUUUUCUUUUUUGAGCAAAAGGGGUUUCCCACCGAUUUUCAUUAAGAAAACCAUAUAUAAAGGCUCACAUAUGAUCUACACACGCACACCAAACUACAUCGUAUCUAAGUGCUUCACAGACGCAGCCUAGAUCACUGGGUACAACUAGAGCCUAGACUGGCUAAGCUACAAACCAGAUCACAACCAUAACAUCUAACUAGUUACUAAGCUCCCAAGAAAUCGAGCCUCCUGGUGCAUCGUGUGUGAAAAGGGCGAGUGAGCCAAUGUCGUCAGCGGAUGACCGACGUGGGCUGGCUCGCUUGGCCCAACUUCCUAGCACGAGACGUAACACGAUGUCCCCAACUUCUCACGUAUGUUCUGCUGAUAAAAAAAAUCUUCCUCACGUAUGUCCUCUCGCGCUUCCUGGCCCUCUUCUCUAUCUCCCCAAACGCGGCGCCCGCCGCCGCCUCCAACCCUGCCUGCCUCCCCAUCUAAUCUCCAUCACCAGUCGCCCAUCCAGCCCCGCAUCGCUAGCAAUUACCCGACGGUGCGUCGACCAUCCGCAUGCUCACGCGCCCCACGACGAACCCUAGCCAACGUUCCUUUUCUCGGGUGGCGCCAGACGGCAGCUGGGGUGAGGAUGAGAGCAAGAAGGGGGAGCAGCUUUUGGUGUGUGUGUAUGUGGUGGGCGUGGGGGUGGGGGAGCUGGAGUUUGAGAUGUGGUGGAAGGUUCAGGUUCAAUAGCAACACCCUUAAUUUUCUUCCUCCCAACUAUGAUUGCUGGCACCAAUCACACAAACAGCAAGAAUUUUUAUCUGUAUUCGCGACCUUGUUUCCCCUGAUUUUGGUGUAAAAGUCGUGCUUUGAGUCCUCUCCUCCAGUUGAUGCUUUCACAAUCAAUUUCUCUCUGCUAAUAUUUACUAAGUUCAAUAUUUUUCAGUAGUAGCAACUUAAACUACUGAGUGUACUGUGUGUUUGAGGUCUCGAAGAUAUGACAUGUGGUUGGAUUGCUUUUUCCCUUGCGAUGUGAGGGUCAUUUUCCGUACCAUUAAUAGUAUUACUUAGUAGCAUAGCGACUAAGUUUUCAGUAUCAUUAACAUUACUUUGUAACAUAGCCACUAAGUGUUGUUCAUCAGGAUGUCCAUGUCCUCAAAACAUUGGCGAUGCGAGAAAAAAAUCAUAUGCAAUAUUUUCAGGCCGCAAGAAUUUAAAUUUAUGCUGCAAUCUCAUUUUAUUUUUAUUUUCUCAUUGGCAAUAAGCUGCACGGACCACAUGUUAGAGAAAGUAAUAACCUUUUUAUUUUAAAAAGCUUAGUACCUUUGCGCCUCAAUAGUUUGGUUGUAGCUGGAUGACUGUAUUGUGAACAUGUGAAAAAAGCUUUUGCCACUACCUCAUGCUAACAGGCAGUCCAUAAUGGUUAUUGUUCAAAUAGUGGUGAGGUAUAUGUAUGUGUAUUUUUCACACGGUGAAGCCUAUAUUUUUUUCUAGCCUAAUCUAACUUAAAAGUUGGUUCUCUUUUCUGUAGUUGCAUUCAUACAUCAAACAUCCAUGUUGUCGUGGUUAGUAAAUACAGAACCAUUUUAAGUGGACCGUGUUUAUGCAAAACAGAUCUCGCAUGCUUGAGGUUAUAUAAUUUUUUCUCUUUACCAUUUGAUACUCCGAAGUGAUCAAAUUGACAAUGACAAACCACUUUAAUAUAAUUGGCCGCUACACCUUCCUACGCAAUGUUAGCAUGCUCCGAUGCACUUUUUUAUACAUUCCCCUGCUAUAAUAUGCUACAUGUGCUAGCCAUUUUUCAACUAGUUGCACUAUUCAUGCCUACAAUAUAUUUGCACUACUUUUUUAUGUAACCCUUGAUGCAUACUUGAAAUCGAUCAACAUCGGCGAGGAAGGUCAGCUGCCCACUGCUGCUCCAUUUCCUUUUCUGAGCACUGCCGCCCUUGAGGAGAGGUCCAGCAGCAAUUGUUGCUGCUCCUGCCUUCCUUUGUCAUCAAAGGUCUGGUGCCGUCAUCUCACCGUAGCUCCCUCCCUACUAGAAUUAGAGCAAUGCCAUCGACCGGUGGUUGCUGCUUCCUCUUCCUUCCCAGCCAGUGUGUCGAGGGCAUGGAAUCUUCUUGAAGGACCAAUAUGCUGGGAAACUAAUAUUCAAACCCCCACAACAUCAAAGUCAUUCCUGCAGGCCUUGUCACAUAAUAAAGUGGCAAAGUAUAACUUGGUUUUAGUUUCGGCUGCAAAACGGAUUUAUGAUGUUCAAGCAUUGAUGGAGUCAUUUAUUAGGGAAAGUAGUUCACACUUAAGGGUAUGCACAACCAAACCCCAUUGGUACUUGUUCAGAAUACCGGGAAUACAAUACUGCUACUAACUUGCAUUGCAAUGUCUGUGCAACCUUGAAUAUCAAGAUGGUUGUUCAAUCGCCUGAGAGUGAUAUUGUAUAUGUUGUUGGAAUUGCUGGUUCCUCAAAGCUAAAUGUUUAUGGGUUCUUGCCUCCAUAAAACCAUUAGUAUCUAUAUGUCGUGGUGUUAGAGUUCUUGCCUCCAUGCAUUUUUUGUUCUGAUAUAUGCAGCAAAGAAGAGAUUAUGAAGACGCUUUCCUAGCUUUAGUUGGAAUGAACACAUUCUAUUUGCCUUGUUUGUUGUUUCGGUGCUAGAAUCAUC